rnacentral:rRNA from 1 species
AAAAUUUAAAAUUAAAAUACUAAAGUAGUAAAUAUAAUUUUGUUGAAAUUUAAAUAAUUUGGCGGUAUUUUAGUUCAUUUAGAGGAAUCUGUUUAAUAAUUGAUAUUCCACGAAUAAAUUUACUUGGUUUAUAAUUUUGUAUAUCGUUGUUAUAAAAAUAUUUUUUAAUGAAAUUAAUAUUUAAAAAUUAAAAUAUAAAUUUAAAUCAGAUCAAGAUGCAGUUUAUAAUUAAGAAUAUAAUGGAUUACAAUAAAUUUAUUUAAAUGGAUUUUAAUUUUUAAUAAUUAAUUGAAGGUGGAUUUAAAUGUAAUUUUAUUUAAUUUAAUAAAAUGAUUAAAAAUUAAAAUAUGU